UCAAUACAUUGAUGUUGGCAC
rnacentral:piRNA from 1 species